AAGGUGAAAAGGGCUUCAGUUGACAAAGAACAUAAAAGAAUGAAGAAUAUUCUACGACUCCGUGCUCUGAAAGAACUUGAACUGAGAGAGGAGUAUGCCAGACAACUUUCUUCCGUCAAAGAAAACAUCUUGUCCGAGAUAGAACAGGAACGCCAAGCUAAGCGGCGUUUAGAAGACGAGCUAAAAG